rnacentral:rRNA from 1 species
GAUGAACGCUGACAGAAUGCUUAACACAUGCAAGUCAACUGUGGCGGACGGGUGAGUAACGCGUAAAGAACUUGCCUCACGGAUAGGGACAACAUUUGGAAACGAAUGCUAAUACCUGAUACUGUGAGAGAGCUUUUCGUCCCUUUAGCUAGUUGGGGAGUUAACGGCGCACCAAGGCGAUGAUGGUUAGCCGGCCUGAGAGGGUGAUCGGCCACAAGGGGACUGAGACACGGCCCUUACUCCUACGGGAGGCAGCAGGGGGGAAUAUUGGACAAUGGACCAAAGUCUGAUCCAGAAAUUCUGUGUGCACGAUGAAGUUUUCGGAAUGUAAAGUGCUUUCAGUUGGGAAGCGGUACCAACAGAAGAAGGGACGGCUAAUUCCGUGCCAGCAGCCGCGGUAAUAC